rnacentral:rRNA from 1 species
UACGUAGGGUGCAAGCGUUGUCCGGAAUUAUUGGGCGUAAAGAGCUCGUAGGCGGUUCGUCACGUCGGCUGUGAAAUCCCGAGGCUCAACCUCGGGUCUGCAGUCGAUACGGGCGGACUUGAGUACUGCAGGGGAGACUGGAAUUCCUGGUGUAGCGGUGAAAUGCGCAGAUAUCAGGAGGAACACCGGUGGCGAAGGCGGGUCUCUGGGCAGUAACUGACGCUGAGGCGCGACAGCGUGGGGAGCAAACAGG